GACGGGGGGGGCAAGUGUUCUUCGGAAUGACUGGGCGUAAAGGGCACGUAGGCGGUGAAUCGGGUUGAAAGUGAAAGUCGCCAAAAAGUGGCGGAAUGCUCUCGAAACCAAUUCACUUGAGUGAGACAGAGGAGAGUGGAAUUCCCAGUGUAGAGGUGAAAUUCGUAGAUAUUGGGAAGAACACCGGUGGCGAAGGCGGCUCUCUGGACCGAUACUGACGCUGAGGCGCGAAAGCGUGGGGAGCAAACAGG
rnacentral:rRNA from 1 species